UAUCGGGGUGGGACUAAAACAUGCGAGUCGAGCGCCUUCAGGCCAUGGUGAAGGCGCGGCGAACGGCUCAGUAACACGUGGCUAACCUACCCUUUGGACGGGGACAACCCCGGGAAACUGGGGCUAAUCCCCGAUAGGUGAGGAGGCCUGGAAUGGUUUCUCAUCUAAAAGGCGUUUAGACCAUGCUUCUAGGCGUCGCCAAAGGAUGGGGCCGCGGCCGAUCAGGUUGUUGGUGAGGUAACGGCUUACCAAGCCUAUAACCGGUACGGGCCGUGAGAGCGGGAGCCCGGAGAUGGGCACUGAGACAAGGGCCCAGGCCCUACGGGGCGCAGCAGUUGCGAAAACUCCGCAAUGCGCGAAAGCGUGACGGGGCUACCCCGAGUGCCGUCCGCUGAGGACGGCUUUUCCACGGUGUAAGGAGCCGUGGGAAUAAGGAGAGGGCAAGCCUGGUGUCAGCCGCCGCGGUAAAACCAGCUCUCCGAGUGGUGGGGAUGAUUAUUGGGCUUAAAGCGUUCGUAGCCGGCUCAGCAAGUCUUCCGUUAAAUCCAGCGAUCUAAUCGUUGGACUGCGGAAGAUACUGUUGGGCUAGGGGACGGGAGAAGCCGACGGUAUUCUCGGGGUAGGGGCGAAAUCCUAUAAUCCCGGGAGGACCACCAGUGGCGAAGGCGGUCGGCUAGAACGCGCCCGACGGUGAGGGACGAAAGCUGGGGGAGCGAACCGGAUUAGAUACCCGGGUAGUCCCAGCUGUAAACUAUGCGGGCUAGGUGUUGGGGCGGCUACGAGCCGCUUCAGUGCCGCACGGAAGCAAUUAAGCCCGCCGCCUGGGAAGUACGGCCGCAAGGCUGAAACUUAAAGGAAUUGGCGGGGGAGCACCACAAGGCGUGAAGCUUGCGGUUUAAUUGGAGUC
rnacentral:rRNA from 1 species